UCAGUUCGGAUCGGAGUCUGNAACCCGACUCCGUGAAGCUGGAUUCGCUAGUAAUCGCGCAUCAGCCAUGGCGCGGUGAAUACGUUCCCGGGCCUUGUACACACCGCCCGUCAAGCCAUGGGAGCCGGGGGUGCUUGAAGUGCGUCGCCGCAAGGCGCGCCCUAGAGCAAAACCGGUGACUGGGGCUAAGUCGUAACAAGGUAGC
rnacentral:rRNA from 1 species